AAAAAUAAUAAAUAUAAACGGACAGUUCGUUAAACCGGAUAAGUUGUAACACAAACUCGCAAAUUUCGUUUGAUCAGGUUAUUUUCAUAAAAUAUUUCGAUACUUUCAAGUUUCAGUUCACCGGAGUGAGAUGAUUAGAUAAAGAUGGAUGAAGAUAGCUGUUUCUUUGGCGAUGGCGGCACUCUAGCUACGUUUCACCGGAAGAGUAGAUGUUUACGAUUCUUGCUGUAUUCUGGAGCGUUUCCUCAUGGGCGUCGCAGUUCACACACGUCACGGAUUCCGCCGAAGAAGUCGAUAAUUAAAACUGAACUUUUGGAUCGGAUAUAUGAAGACGCGCGCUGCAUUUUCCUUGACGGAGACGCACAGCUCUGACACUAGACAAUAUUAUACACUCAAAGGGACCGCGUUUCGCCAGAAGAAUAAAUAAUUACAAAUCGUAUUCGUCAGUGAACAUUUUCAAACUGGGAAUAAUAUAUCAUAAGCAGAUUGAAAUGUGUGAACGUUUCAGUGUAUCGAAGACUAAGUUUCGUAGCAGAUUUUGAUUCAGUCAC